CCUACGGGAGGCAGCAGUGAGGAAUAUUGGACAAUGGGCGCAAGCCUGAUCCAGCCAUGCCGCGUGCAGGAAGACUGCCCUAUGGGUUGUAAAAUGCUUUUAUACGGGAAGAAACACCCCUACGUGUAGGGGCUUGACGGUAC
rnacentral:rRNA from 1 species